GAUGAACGCUGGCGGCGUGCCUAAUACAUGCAAGUCGAGCGAACAGACGAGGAGCUUGCUCCUCUGACGUUAGCGGCGGACGGGUGAGUAACACGUGGAUAACCUACCUAUAAGACUGGGAUAACUUCGGGAAACCGGAGCUAAUACCGGAUAAUAUAUUGAACCGCAUGGUUCAAUAGUGAAAGACGGUUUUGCUGUCACUUAUAGAUGGAUCCGCGCCGCAUUAGCUAGUUGGUAAGGUAACGGCUUACCAAGGCAACGAUGCGUAGCCGACCUGAGAGGGUGAUCGGCGACACGGGAACGUAGACACGGUCCAGACUCCUACGGGAGGCAGCAGUAGGGAAUCUUCCGCAAUGGGCGAAAGCCUGACGGAGCAACGCCGCGUGAGUGAUGAAGGUCUUCGGAGCGUAAAACUCUGUUAUUAGGGAAGAACAAAUGUGUAAGUAACUAUGCACGUCUUGACGGUACCUAAUCAGAAAGCCACGGCUAACUACGUG
rnacentral:rRNA from 1 species